UUGGAGGGCAAGUCUGGUGCCAGCAGCCGCGGUAAUUCCAGCUCCAAUAGCGUAUAUUAAAGUUGUUGCAGUUAAAAAGCUCGUAGUUGAAUUUCGAGACCGGUUUAUUGGUCGUGCUUUUGUACGUACUGGUAUUAUUGGUUUCUCCUUUCUGACGAAUCUUAAUGCCAUUAAUUUGGUGUUUUGGGGAAUCAGGACUGUUACUUUGAAAAAAUUAGAGUGUUUAAAGCAGGCUCACGCUUGAAUACAUUAGCAUGGAAUAACGGAAUAGGACGUUUGAUUCUAUUUUGUUGGUUUCUAGGAUCGACGUAAUGAUUAAUAGGGAUAGUUGGGGGCAUUAGUAUUCAAUUGUCAGAGGUGAAAUUCUUGGAUUUAUUGAAGACUAACUACUGCGAAAGCAUUUGCCAAGGAUGUUUUCAUUAAUCAAGAACGAAAGUUAGGGGAUCGAAGACGAUCAGAUACCGUCGUAGUCUUAACCAUAAACUAUGCCGACUAGGGAUCGGAUGAUGUUAAUUUUUUAAUGACUCAUUCGGCGCCUUACGGGAAAC
rnacentral:rRNA from 2 species